rnacentral:rRNA from 1 species
CUACGGGGCGCUGCAGUGGGGAAUAUUGGACAAUGGGGGCAACCCUGAUCCAGCCAUGCCGCGUGUGUGAAGAAGGCCUUUUGGUUGUAAAGCACUUUAAGCAGGGAGGAGAGGCUAAUGGUUAAUACCCAUUAGAUUAGACGUUACCUGCAGAAUAAGCACCGGCUAACUCUGUGCCAGCAGCCGCGGUAAUACAGAGGGUGCGAUCGUUAAUCGGAAUUACUGGGCGUAAAGCGAGUGUAGGUGGCUCAUUAAGUCACAUGUGAAAUCCCCGGGCUUAACCUGGGAACUGCAUGUGAUACUGGUGGUGCUAGAAUAUGUGAGAGGGAAGUAGAAUUCCAGGUGUAGCGGUGAAAUGCGUAGAGAUCUGGAGGAAUACCGAUGGCGAAGGCAGCUUCCUGGCAUAAUAUUGACACUGAGAUUCGAAAGCGUGGGUAGCAAACAGGAUUAGAUACCCUAGUAGUC